GACGAACGCUGGCGGCGUGCUUAACACAUGCAAGUCGAACGGUAAGGCCCUUCGGGGUACACGAGUGGCGAACGGGUGAGUAACACGUGGGUGAUCUGCCCUGCACUUCGGGAUAAGCCUGGGAAACUGGGUCUAAUACCGGAUAGGACCCUGGGAUGCAUGUCCUGGGGUGGAAAGCUUUUGCGGUGUGGGAUGGGCCCGCGGCCUAUCAGCUUGUUGGUGGGGUGAUGGCCUACCAAGGCGACGACGGGUAGCCGGCCUGAGCGGGUGACCGGCCACACUGGGACUGAGAUACGGCCCAGACUCCUACGGGAGGCAGCGGUGGGGAAUAUUGCACAAUGGGCGCAAGCCUGAUGCAGCGACGCCGCGUGUGGGAUGACGGCCUUCGGGUUGUAAACCUCUUUCAGCACCGACGAAGCGCAAGUGACGGUAGGUGCAGAAGAAGGACCGGCCAACUACGUGCCAGCCGCCGCGGUAA
rnacentral:rRNA from 1 species